UAACCCCUUAUCACCUUUUUAUAUUCAAACGUAAAUUUUUUAUCCGAAAAUAGUAAUUUUCAAAUACCUGAAAUAAGUUGGUAUAAUUAUUCCCACCAACACUUCUAUUUUUUAUAUAUAACUACCCACUAUUUUUCUUAUUCCAUAUUAUUUAUCCAAACAUUAUUUUUUUUAUCUCCGGAAACAACCCAAUUUUCAUCCAAAUACUAUUUUUCUUAUCCCCAUACUUGUAUCUGUUCCUGUAAUAACUAGUUCUUACUUAUACCCGAACCAAACAAAGCAUUAGGGUUUGUUUG
rnacentral:lncRNA from 1 species